rnacentral:rRNA from 1 species
AACGCGAAGAACCUUACCAGGGCUUGACAUGGGCGUGCCGCGGUCAGAGAUGGCCGUUUCCGCGAGGACACGCCGCACAGGUGCUGCAUGGCUGUCGUCAGCUCGUGUCGUGAGAUGUUGGGUUAAGUCCCGCAACGAGCGCAACCCUCGCCUUCAGUUGCCAUCACGUUUGGGUGGGCACUCUGAAGGAACUGCCGGUGACAAGCCGGAGGAAGGUGGGGAUGACGUCAAGUCCUCAUGGCCCUUAUGUCCUGGGCUACACACGUGCUACAAUGGCGGUGACAGCGGGAAGCGAGGUCGCGAGGCCCAGCCGAUCCCGAAAAGCCGUCUCAGUUCGGAUUGCACUCUGCAACUCGGGUGCAUGAAGGUGGAAUCGCUAGUAAUCGCGGAUCAGCACGCCGCGGUGAAUACGUUCCCGGGCCUUGUACACACCGCUCGCGA